rnacentral:rRNA from 1 species
AUUGAACGCUGGCGGCAGGCCUAACACAUGCAAGUCGAGCGGAUGAAGGGAGCUUGCUCCUGGAUUCAGCGGCGGACGGGUGAGUAAUGCCUAGGAAUCUGCCUGGUAGUGGGGGAUAACGUCCGGAAACGGGCGCUAAUACCGCAUACGUCCUGAGGGAGAAAGUGGGGGAUCUUCGGACCUCACGCUAUCAGAUGAGCCUAGGUCGGAUUAGCUAGUUGGUGGGGUAAAGGCCUACCAAGGCGACGAUCCGUAACUGGUCUGAGAGGAUGAUCAGUCACACUGGAACUGAGACACGGUCCAGACUCCUACGGGAGGCAGCAGUGGGGAAUAUUGGACAAUGGGCGAAGCCUGAUCCAGCCAUGCCGCGUGUGUGAAGAAGGUCUUCGGAUUGUAAAGCACUUUAAGUUGGGAGGAAGGGCAGUAAGUUAAUACCUUGCUGUUUUGACGUUACCAACAGAAUAAGCACCGGCUAACCUCGUG